AUUGAACGCUAGCGGGAUGCUUUACACAUGCAAGUCGAACGGCAGCGCGGACUUCGGUCUGGCGGCGAGUGGCGAACGGGUGAGUAAUGUAUCGGAACGUGCCCAGUAGCGGGGGAUAACUACGCGGAAGCGUAGCUAAUACCGCAUACGCCCUACGGGGGAAAGCAGGGGAUCGUAAGACCUUGCACUAUUGGAGCGGCCGAUAUCGGAUUAGCUAGUUGGUGAGGUAACGGCUCACCAAGGCGACGAUCCGUAGCUGGUUUGAGAGGACGACCAGCCACACUGGGACUGAGACACGGCCCAGACUCCUACGGGAGGCAGCAGUGGGGAAUUUUGGACAAUGGGGGCAACCCUGAUCCAGCCAUCCCGCGUGUGCGAUGAAGGCCUUCGGGUUGUAAAGCACUUUUGGCAGGAAAGAAACGUCGCGGGCUAAUACCCCGUGGAACUGACGGUACCUGCAGAAUAAGCACCGGCUAACUACGUG
rnacentral:rRNA from 1 species